GAGGUGUGCUCAGAGCAGGGAGCCUGAAGAAUGCUUCUCUGUUUACAACACACCCAACAGGAAUGUGGGGUUAUUGUGACAAGGGGCACCAAAAAUUGUGGUUUCCCUAUGAACAAAUGCCCUACAUGU
rnacentral:snoRNA from 1 species